GCAGUCGAGCGAGAAAGCACUUCGGUUGCGAGAUACAGCGGCGGACGGGUGAGUAACGCGUAGGAAUCUACCCGGUAGUGGGGGACAACUUGUGGAAACGCAAGCUAAUACCGCAUACGCCCUAUGGGGGAAAGCGGGGGAUCUUCGGACCUCGCGCUAUCGGAUGAGCCUGCGUAGGAUUAGCUAGUUGGUGAGGUAAAGGCUCACCAAGGCGACGAUCCUUAGCUGGUCUGAGAGGAUGAUCAGCCACACUGGAACUGAGACACGGUCCAGACUCCCACGGGAGGCAGCAGUGGGGAAUAUUGCGCAAUGGGGGAAACCCUGACGCAGCCAUGCCGCGUGUGUGAAGAAGGCCUUAGGGUUGUAAAGCACUUUCAAUUGGGAGGAAAGGUUGCACGUUAAUAGCGUGUAGCUGUGACGUUACCUUUAGAAGAAGCACCGGCUAACUCCGUGCCAGCAGCCGCGGUAAUACGGAGGGUGCGAGCGUUAAUCGGAAUUACUGGGCGUAAAGCGCGCGUAGGCGGUUCGUUAAGUCGGAUGUGAAAGCCCUGGGCUCAACCUGGGAACUGCAUUCGAUACUGACCGACUANAGUACGAGAGAGGGAGGUAGAAUUCCACGUGUAGCGGUGAAAUGCGUAGAUAUGUGGAGGAA
rnacentral:rRNA from 1 species